AACACGACGACGUUAUAAAGCUACUAUCAGAAUGCGGUACGGGUUUAGUACGAAAUUGCACCACUUCAAUUGAGCGCUAGUAGUAAAUAGGGUAAAUUAUUUAUCGACGGUACGCAUUACACAUAAUACUCCGCGUCACUGGCCAGGAGACCGUCAAAAUUCAAAACGCGUCGUAUUACUAUAUUGUUUGUAUCAGUGUAUUACCUAUCGCCAGUCGUACGGUAACGAACUAACGACUGUAUAAAAUGUUGAGGCCGAUGAGGGAAAUUCCAUUAUUUGGAUGCACUACGGUGUCGUGGCACGGAGAGUAGGUACCUAUCCCCUUAAGGCCUUAAGCAUGUCUAGCUCCUGUAGCUGUACUGUGCCGUGAUAUAAUUAAAAUGUAAAUUUUAUCAUGAGCCGGAGUGCCGUGCACGAAUAAACAACAGCUGUAUAACAGCUCAUAAUACUAUAAUAAUCGUACUGCAAUCCAGGAAUCCUGCAAGCAAUUGCACUAAUUGAAUAAAAAUACUACUGAUAUUAAGCUUAUGAGUACGGGCUAAGAUUUUAUAAUUUGUGUUUAGCCCAAUAAUUGUUUUCUCUCUCAGAUCUACUCAAAGUACCUAUAUAAUAAAACAAAAAAAUAGAUAAAUAAACUGCAUUCAUG